rnacentral:rRNA from 1 species
CAACGCCGCGUGAGGGAUGACGGUCUUCGGAUUGUAAACCUCUUUUAGUUGGGAAGAAACAAAUGACGGUACCGACAGAAAAAGCACCGGCUAACUACGUGC